rnacentral:rRNA from 1 species
UGGGGAAUAUUGGACAAUGGGCGAAAGCCUGAUCCAGCCAUGCCGCGUGUGUGAAGAAGGUCUUCGGAUUGUAAAGCACUUUAAGUUGGGAGGAAGGGUUGUAGAUUAAUACUCUGCAAUUUUGACGUUACCGACAGAAUAAGCACCGGCUAACUCUGUGCCAGCAGCCGCGGUAAUACAGAGGGUGCAAGCGUUAAUCGGAAUUACUGGGCGUAAAGCGCGCGUAGGUGGUUUGUUAAGUUGAAUGUGAAAUCCCCAGGCUCAACCCGGGAACUGCAUCCAAAACUGGCAAGCUAGAGUACGGUAGAGGGUAGUGGAAUUUCCUGUGUAGCGGUGAAAUGCGUAGAUAUAGGAAGGAACACCUGCGGCGAAGGCGACUACCUGGACUGAUACUGUCACUGAGGUGCGAAAGCGUGGGGAGCAAACA